rnacentral:lncRNA from 1 species
GAGUAUUGGGUUAGGAAUAUUGUCUGGUUUUCUUUCUGUUGAGUUUGUUUCUGUUUCGAGUGUGGAGGGAGAUGAAUGUCUCUAGAGAGAGGAACGUGCUGGGAGAUUGGAGAAGACGAGCUUCUGUGCCUUCACUCUCCAUUUCCUUUCUGUUUUUUUUUAAUUAAUUAAUUAUUUUUUUAAAAUUAAAUUUGUUUUUUUACAGAAAUAAUAUAAAAACCACGAAAUCUUUGUUUUGUUUUAUUUUAAACUUUUAUUCCAGUUCAUAUAUUUUGGGUAGUAUCUUAAUAGCAGAUAUUGUUGAGUGGCCUAGUGGAGAGAGGGCAGUUGCAUAAUAUUAGGUGGGGAGGGUUCAAUACUCAUGUGUGACACCUUUUGCUUUUUAUUUGAUUUUAUUUUCCUUUAGCAUUUUUUUAUUNAUCAUAACCGCGCCGAGCUUCGUUUUGAGGAGGUAAUCAUCACAUUUCUCUCGACAUCCUCAUAACAUGUGACCUUUUGUUUGCAUCUUUUGAUUUUGCUCUAGGAAAGGUUCAGCGUUUUUCCUAGUUGUUUGUUGUCGGUACGUUUUGGUCUUUGUUGAGAAGAAGAUGAUAGGAUGAAACGAGUAUUGGGUUAGGAAUAUUGUCUGGUUUUCUUUCUGUUGAGUUUGUUUCUGUUUCGAGUGUGGAGGGAGAUAAAUGUCUCUAGAGAGAGAAACGUGCUGGGAGAUUGGAGAAGACGAGCUUCUGUGCCUUCACUCUCCAUUUCCUUUCUGUUUUUUUUAAUUAAUUAAAUUAUUAUUUUUAAAAUUAAAUUUGUUUUUUUACAGAAAUAAUAUAAAAACCACGAAAUCUUUGUUUUGUUUUAUUUUAAACUUUUAUUCCAGUUCAUAUAUUUUGGGUAGUAUCUUAAUAGCAGACAUUGUUGAGUGGCCUAGUGGAGAGAGGGCAGUUACAUAAUAUUAGGUGGGGAGGGUUCAAUACUCAUGUGUGACAUUUUUUGCUUUUUAUUUGAUUUUAUUUUCCUUUAGCAUUUUUUUUAUUCUUUUAGUAUUUUGUUAAUAUCUCUUUUUAUGCUUAUUAUAAUUUCAUGUGUUAAUAAUGCGUAGUUAUUGUAUUUGAAU